AUUGAACGCUGGCGGCAUGCCUUACACAUGCAAGUCGAACGGCAGCACGGGUGCUUGCACCUGGUGGCGAGUGGCGAACGGGUGAGUAAUACAUCGGAACAUGUCCUGUAGUGGGGGAUAGCCCGGCGAAAGCCGGAUUAAUACCGCAUACGAUCUACGGAUGAAAGCGGGGGACCUUCGGGCCUCGCGCUAUAGGGUUGGCCGAUGGCUGAUUAGCUAGUUGGUGGGGUAAAGGCCUACCAAGGCGACGAUCAGUAGCUGGUCUGAGAGGACGACCAGCCCCCCGGGGACUGAGACCCGGCCCAGGCCCCUACGGGGGGCAGCGGUGGGGAAUUUUGGCAAAUGGGCGAAAGCCUGACCCAGCAAUGCCGGGGGUGUGAAGAAGGCCUGCGGGUUGUAAAGCCUUUUUGUCCGGAAAGAAAUCCUUGGCCCUAAGACGGUCGGGGGAUGCCGGGACCGGAAAAAAAAGCCCCGGCUAACUCCGG
rnacentral:rRNA from 1 species